AUCCAUCUACAUAUCAAUUUAACUCGGGUAAGUAUAUCUUAGAGUUUUAACAUGAUCUUUGUGUUAGACAAUAUACGUGUUAUACAUGAACUUGAUCUGAUAUUAAUUUUUUGAGUAACAGAGGAAUCUGAAAGCUGCUCAACAAUGAAGUUCGUGGCUGCUGCCCUAAUUUUGAUGAUGGUGUGCUCUUCCUUUGCCGCAGUGAAGACUUCAAAUGAACACGAUGGAUAUCGACGUGACCGGCAGCUGGAUGAGGAUGGGAAGGAAGAAGUGUAUCCGGGAAGCAGUGUCAACAACCACCAUUUCAUCGACAGGCCAGACUUCGACAGCAAGGGUGGCGGUGACAACAAUGGUGGUCACUAAAAUGAGUCAUACUUUAGUUGUUCGAUAUUGUGGGUACGUUGUAAGUGCUGUUUGUAAUAUAUAAGCAAAUAGGUCUUGCCAAUGUUAGUUUAUGCUUUGGGUUUAUAUAAAAUAUACUAAAUAUAUAAUAUACAUAAUUCUGAAUAAGUGUGUAGUUUGGUAUAUAUGGUUAUGUAAUUAAGCCAUAAACCCAAUAAUAUUCGGAAUAAUCAAGCUUGGUUUUUAAGUCAGCCAAAAAUACUGACAGAUAAUGAUACGUAUGUAUAUAUUGCAUGUUUAUGGCAAAGGAUAUCACGUAUUGAUGAUAUGUUUCUCUUACCGCAAUUAGAAAAGAGACCUAGGAUCAUAAGAUGGAUCCUUCAAUUUCUUAAUUAGCAUACAAUAUAUAUAUACAUACAUGCAUGCAAUAUGAUGAUGGUGUAUAAAGUUUAAACUGAAUGAUUUAUUGAUGUGUGAAGAGUACAAUAUAUACAAGUUAAUUAUAGACUUGAAACAUAAGCAAUAUUCCUUGUCAUACAAGAAUUACAAUUACAAAAUCAAUCCCUAAGGGGAAGGAGAAUCCUUACCGGAUUCACCUUCACUUGCAUCCCCUCAAACUUGACGGUCUUAGGAAGACAAGUUUGGACCAAAGAAGAAAGAAGCGAGCCUUGGAAAGACCUUUGGUGAGUACAUCAGCAGGUUGAUCAACAGACGAGAACUAAACUGUUAGAUUAUUUAAUAUCCAAAGUAUGGGUUAUAGGUAUGGGUAGAAUAUCUAAUAUCCAAAGUAUGGGUUAUAGGUAUGGGUUAAUGUGUAAAGUAUGGGUGUUAGAAUAUUAGUGUGUGAAGCAUGGUGUGUGAUGUUCAUCGGGUGACUCACGACAUCCUUCUCCACUUGUAUAAGUUCUCUUUCUUGUAACCUUACACAUUUUCAAUACAAACAAUUCUUUCAAAACUAUCACAUGGUAUCAGAGCAGGCUUCCUAAAGAACCUGUUCUCUGAAAUCUUUUGAAAUGGAAGAAGAAAAUAUACUUGCUGCUUCAUCCGAGAACAUCCUUGGUUCUUCAUCAGUUUCUUCAAGUGAAGCUGAUGGAAAUCCCAAUCAACGUCUUUGUUCCAUACUCCUAACUGAGUUUAAUUAUCUUCCUUGGUCAAGAGCUAUUACUUUAGCUCUUGGAGGAAGAUCUAAGCUUGGUUUCAUCAAUGGAACUAUCGUACCUCCCAAGGUUGGUGAUUCUAAGUAUGAAGAAUGGUUCUGCAAGGAUCAGCUCGUCAUGUCCUGGUUGCUCAACUCAAUGGGCUCAAAGGUAUCAGAAAUUUUCAGCUUUUCAGAAUCAGCUUUUGAUCUGUGGAAGGCUGUCAAGGAGAUGUAUGGAAAUCAAAAUAAUGCAGCCAGGAUAUUUGAGCUGCAGAAGAGUCUUUCUGUUUUGAAUCAAGAUGGAAAGACUUUUAUCGAGCACUUGGGAAGACUGAAGUCUAUGUGGAAUGAGCUGAAUCUCUAUCGACCUCACACUACAGACCCAGCAAUCCUUCUUAAGCAGGCUGAAGAAGACAAGGUCUUUCAGCUUUUAUCCAGUCUUGACUCUACCUAUGAGGACCUGCGAAGCCACGUAUUGAUGAGUGUUGAACUACCAUCUCUCAAUACUGUGUGCACUAUCGUUCAACGAGAAGAAGCAAGAAGGAAAGUUAUGAGUACUAAGGUUGGUGAUCCUGAGUCUAGAGCUUUCGUUGCAAGUGACAGAAGGUUUGAAGGAAAAAAUUUCAAAGGAAAGAAAGAAAGAAAGGAGAAAUGCAAUGCAGUCAUUGUGGACAGAAGAAUCAUCUCAGAGACACUUGUUGGGUGUUGUAUCCACACCUUAAGCCUAACUUUUCCAAACAAACCAAACCUGGUCGCAGUGCAAAUCAAGUCCCUCGCUUGCAGACUGCCUCAACUGUUGGGAACUUCACAUCUAAUCCCUCAACUCUCUUGAGUGAGUUCACUUCCUUCACUCAGAAGAAAGAUGAAAGCAAUCUUCAUAAAGGAAACAGUGAAGCUAGCACCACUGAAUUAUUUGAGCAGUUCGCAAAAUUUCUUCAGACAAAGGUGUCAUCUUCCGUUGAUAUGUCAGGUAUUCUAAACUCAUUUAGUGCUGCACUUGCUUCCAGAAAACUUGCAAAUGUUUGGAUAAUAGACUCUGGAGCGACUGAUCACAUUACAAAUAUAAAAAGAUAUAUGCAUGACUUUAAAGAGGCAGUUAUUCCGCAAUUUGUCUCUGUUGCUAAUGGAACUGGUGUAUCAGUUUUGGGGUGAAGGGAAAGUCAAGUUAAUUGAUACUAAUGUUGAAUCAACUGCUCUAUAUGUGCCCUCCUUUCCAUUUCAGCUUCUGUCAGUAGGAAGGUUGACAAAUUCCUUAAACUGUGAUGUUAUAUUCUCGCCAUUCAAUGUGAUUUUCCAGGAUCGUAUCACGAAGAAGAAGAUUGGUGAAGGCAUGUAUAAAGAUGGCCUCUAUAUGCUUUCAUUGCAACCUGUUGAAGCUAGAGGUCUUCAAGUUGGUUUUUUGAAGAAUCAUCUAUUAUGGCAUAGACGAUUAGGGCAUCCCUCUAAUCUUGUGCAAUCACAUCUCUUCAAAACUUCAGAGAAUGUGAUGACUCAAGAUUGUGAAGUUUGCCAUUUUUCAAAACAGACGAGGUUGCCUUUUGAUGUCUCAUCAACCAAGUCAUGUAAACCUUUUGAGAUUGUGCACUCUGAUGUUUGGGGACCUGCACCCUUGGUUUCUUUUGAUGGUUUUAGAUACUUUGUCACCUUUGUGGAUGAUUUCUCAAGAUGUACCUGGUUGUAUUUGUUGAAAUCAAAAGAUGAAGUUAUUAAUGUGUUCCAAGAAUUUCACAGUCUUGUUACAAAUCAGUUCUCAACCCAACUUAAAGUCUUAAGGUCAGACAAUGGUACUGAGUAUAUGUCUAAUGCUUUUACUCAAUAUCUAACUUGUCAUGGAAUAAUUCACCAAACGAGCUGUGUUGGUACUCCGCAACAAAACGGAGUAGCAGAAAGGAAGAACCGUGAUCUACUGGAGAAAACUCGAUCACUUAUGCUUCAAAUGAGUGUACCUAAGAAAUUCUGGUCUCAUGGGGUUCUUACUGCUGCAUAUGUAAUUAAUAGGCUUCCAAGCAAGGUUCUCAAAUUCAAGGCACCUCUUGAAACACUUAAUGGCAGGAAAAUUAACUUGUCUCACCUUCGAGUGUUUGGAUGUGUUUGCUUUGUUCAUAUUCAAACCUUGCAUCGAGAUAAAUUGGACCCUAGAGCUGUAAGGUGUUUGUUCUUAGGGUACUCAUCUGUUCAAAAGGGAUAUAAGUGCUAUGACCCAAAGCGCAGGAAACUUUUGGUGUCUAGAGAUGUGGUUUUUGACGAGAAAACUCCUUUUUUUGCUAGUACCAGGGGUGAAGAUCUUCUGGGGGAGGAGGACUUUCUUGAUCAAAUCCUCACGCCAAUUAUGGAAAUCAAUGCACUGCCUCAUCAUUUUUCAGCUCCAGAUCAACCAAGCAACAAUGAAAUUUCGAUUGAUCCAGUUGAGUGUAAUUCAUCAUCUGACAUACUUGUUGAUAAUGAAUCAACUGAAGACACUGAACAAAAUCAAAUUUCGUCCGAGGAGAACCUUGCUAUUACUCCUGAAGUGAUCACUCCAAGGAGAAACCCUAGUAGAAAUCGGGGUAAGCCAACUUGGUUUAAAGAUUAUGUAAGUUAUGCCUCAAGACAUCCUAUAGAAAAAUAUCUUGAAUACUCAAGAGUAUCUUCGUCUCAUGCUGCUUUCCUAAGCAAAAUUUCAGCCUCAUCUGAACCAAGCUCAUUCCAAGAAGCUAACUCUCAAUUGAUCUGGCAAACAGCUAUGGAUGAGGAGCUUAGAGCUCUAAAUGAAAACAAAACUUGGAGCAUCACCAAGCUACCUAAGGGGAUGAGAGCUGUGGGGUGUCGAUGGGUGUAUAAAACCAAAUUUAAGAGUGAUGGUUCAGUGGAGAGACACAAAGCUAGAUUGGUGGCUAGAGGUUUUACUCAAACUUAUGGCAUUGAUUACAAGGAAACCUUUGCUCCUGUGGCAAAGAUGAACUCGGUAAGAGUGCUUCUCUCGGUUGCUGUCAACCAUGAUUGGCCCCUAUACCAAAUGGAUGUUAAGAAUGCCUUCCUGCAUGGAGAACUUAAAGAAGAUGUGUACAUGCAGUUGCCUCCGGGACAUCCACAAGAAGAAGAGGGCAUGGUUUGCAAGUUACACAAGGCCAUUUAUGGCCUCAAACAAUCUCCUCGAGCUUGGUAUGCCAAGUUAAGUUCUGUGUUAGAGAACAUUGGUUUUAAAAGGAGCAAUGCAGAUUCCUCACUAUUUGUGCGAGAUAGGUCAGCAGGUAAACUUGUCGUUCUCAUCUAUGUCGAUGAUCUCAUUGUGACUGGUGACAGUUUGACAGAAAUUCAGCGACUUAAGGGCUUUCUUCACAAAAAGUUUGCAAUUAAAGAUCUAGGAACUCUGAAGUAUUUUCUAGGCAUUGAAGUUGCUUCAUCUAGUAAAGGCUUGCUCUUGAACCAACGCAAGUACAUACUUGAUUUACUUCAAGAGUCCAAAAUGCUUGAGGCAAAACCAGUGGCAACCCCAAUAGCUUGCAAAGAGAAACUUGGAUUAGAUGGAGAUUUACUGAUAGAUGUUGGUUUAUACCAGAGAUUGGUAGGGAAACUUAUUUACCUUACCAUUACUCGUCCUGAUAUCAUGCAUGCCGUGAGCCUAGUCAGUCAGUUCAUGCAUGCUCCUCGAUCAAUUCACUUACAAGCUGUUCGAAGGAUCUUGCGCUACUUGAAAGGCACUGUUGGAACUGGGAUUGUGAUGAGGAAGAUCGGAAAUGCUCACAUUGUUGGCUACACAGAUGCAGACUGGGGUGGCUCCAAAAUUGAUCGAAGAUCUACUACUGGAUAUUGUACAUUUGUUGGUGGAAAUCUGGUGACAUGGAAAAGCAAAAAACAAAGUGUGGUGGCUCGAUCAAGUGCAGAAGCUGAAUAUCGUGCCAUGGCAUCUACUACCUAUGAGUUAAUUUGGCUGCAAGGUUUGCUCAACGACUUAGGGUUCAAGAGAACACUGCCUAUGCCUCUUUUCUGUGAUAACCAAGCUGCUAUUUACAUUGCAUCUAAUCCUGUAUUUCAUGAAAGAACCAAACACAUUGAAAUGGACUGUCAUUUUGUUCGAGAAAAAACCCAAUCUGAUGUCAUUCAACCUGUUUUUGUUCGGAGCACAUAUCAACUAGCAGACAUCUUCACCAAAGGAUUGUCUCGGGUUCAAUUCAACACUCUUUUGGUCCAACUUGGCUUGAUGAAUAUACUAGCCUUCGUUUGAGGGGGAGUGUUAGAUUAUUUAAUAUCCAAAGUAUGGGUUAUAGGUAUGGGUAGAAUAUCUAAUAUCCAAAGUAUGGGUUAUAGGUAUGGGUUAAUGUGUAAAGUAUGGGUGUUAGAAUAUUAGUGUGUGAAGCAUGGUGUGUGAUGUUCAUCGGGUGACUCACGACAUCCUUCUCCACUUGUAUAAGUUCUCUUUCUUGUAACCUUACACAUUUUCAAUACAAACAAUUCUUUCAAAACUAUCACAUAAACCUUUUGAGCACUCAACUGAACUCGCUCAUGAACAAAAUGAUAAUCCACCUAUAAGCUUAGUGUGAGCUUGAAAAAUCGGAUUAGCAGCCAUAUAAGUAGUGCUCAAAUUGUGACAAAAAAGAAGAAUAUAUAGGACUGGGGGCCGGUUGUACAUAAGAUAACCAGAUGAAUUCCACACAAGUAUGAGCCAAAGUAAGAUAUUCAGAUUUGGCACUGGAACUAGAAACUGUAGACUGCUUAGACAAGCUUCAAGAAAUAAGAUUUAAGACCAUGAAAAUAAAUACCCAGACAUUGAACAUCGCGUGUAAGGAUAGCACCCAAAUUAGAAUGGGAGAACCCCACGUAACAGUAGGAGACCAGAGAAAGGUCUAAACUGAAUCCCAAGCUCUAGGGUGCCCUUAACAUAAUGUAAAAUACGCUGAGCAGCAAUGAGAUGUAGUGCACAAAGAUGAACCAUGACCUAAAUAACAUAAUUAACAACGAAGGCAAUAUCAGGGCGUGUCAAAGUUAGAUACUAAAAAGAACCAACAAGUUAACGAAACUCUGUGUGAUCAGUGAGUGGAGAAUCGUCUAAAGUUUAUGGCUCAACCAAAGAUGUACGUCGGGUGCUGCUGAUCAGUUAUAUUGGCUAUUGAUUUGUGCACUUUGAAACUUUAUCCAAAUAAAGAACAAAUAAACAUUUGGCAAUGAGCAGAAAUACCGAAACAUUUUUGCUCAACUUCUAUCAUUCGAUAUGAUAUUCUCAACAACCGUCGCCAUACGAAAUUUUCUCUCCCUACAAUGAGUUGUAUAAAACUAAUGGUAUGAAAAAAAUGAUUAGGGAUCUGUUGUCUUCAAUUUGAUGUCUCUUUUAUGUCUAUCCCCAUCGUUGUCGAUGCUCCUUACAGUCGAAAAAGCUUUCCGUCCUUUCAUUUUCUCUCUUCAAAUUCCCUUACUAGGUUGUGAUCGAUCCAUCUCAUCAAACAGCAAACAGAGUGAAAUUUGAAAUUUGGGGAUAUCUAAUCGAUCGAUACAUGAAGAUGACGAAAAACGUCGAUAUGGCUUCCCCGGCAAGAGAGAAUGGAAGAAAAAGAUAUAAAAAGAGAGGAAAAGAAGCUUUGCCCCAAUGAGGAAGAGCCUUGCGGCCAAAUUGCAUGGUGGGAAGAUGGGGUUGGUGGUUGCGUGCUAGAUUCGGGGAGGUUGCUAUUAGAUUUUUGCAGUGGCCUUUGCUUUUCUUUAAUUUUCAGUUUUUAAUCAACUUUUAUGCAAAAUAAUGGUGUUAAAUUUAAAGUUAAGUGGAGGAAUACCUGUAGUGGGGAAAGAGUGCAAGGUUCAAAUGUCAACAACCAAAUCCUUUUAUAUAGUAAUGUCAUCCAUAAUUUAUCAAUACAAACAAAUUACAAUUGUUAUUGGUGAGGUUUCAUACCAUAAAAACGUUGCAUAAUAGGCUUAUUAUCAAUAAAAGCAAAUACAUCUCUCUCAAUGUGAACAAGCAUGCGAUCACUCAACCAUUGAUCUCCCAUUUUGUUACGCAAUGGUGUUUUCACAAUGUUCACAGUAAAAAAAACUCUCUACACCGAAACUGUUGCAACCGGUAACUAAGAAGCUUUUACACUAACAUAUAGCUUGCACAUUCCCGGUCUUCACCAACUCCUUUGCAAGAUCACUAAUUCCUCUCAAUGAUGAAAACUCACUAUGCAUCUUCAUAUCAUGAAUGUAAUUGUCAAGUUGAAUUGGAAGAUUCAUGAGGUCCAUACGAUCAAAAUUUUGAGGAUAAAGUUAGGCUAAACGAACAAUUUUUGCUUUGUCAAAAGAUGCAAAAUUAUUCACGCAACAUGCCAUACAAAGAAGCAACUCGAGUUUACCUCAUUGAAGUGAUCAUUCAAUUCCUUUAGUGGCAUAUCAAAGACUUGAAAAUAGAGGUCCACAGGAUAGUAAUGGAAGUUUGUGAGUCUUGGAGCUUUACGCCUUGAUUUUACGAGUACGAAAUGCAAAUCAUCCAUGUUAGGAACGAUAAUCUCAUGCUCCUCACAAAACUUUCGUACAUCAUCAAGCAAGUACCCAAAGUCAUCAUCUCUCAAAGAUUGUAGUCUUUGCUUGCAUACUUCCACUAACGCCAUCGCAUUCACAAUACCUUGAUCUUUCUUUUGUAAUGCGUGUGAUAACUCAUUUAUAAUUCUCUAUAUAAGUCAUAAAAAAAAGGUGAAACACAAAAUCAAAAGUUUGUAUGUCGUGGAAUAACUUGCUUCACCCAAAUUGUCUUGGUUGCCAUCAUCUUUAAUCCAUCCAAGCACCUCCACCACGGCUUCAAACAUAACAAUAAUAUUAACUUAGUACCAUAAUGUGAGUUCCACCAUGUAUCAUAAGGAUGCAUGAGACUAAUCACUUGAUUUAAUCCUGUACCAGUUUCAAGAUCACAUAUAUCAAGAGUUCUUAAUUUAUUCUUGUCUCUUCUCUCUAAAUGCACCACGAUGCUUACACGAUGAUCCAAUAGUAUUGACCAAACUACUAGCAUUGUUGAAGAAAAUGGCAACACCCUCACUUCCCUUUGCAACACCUAUAAGAGCUAGUUGAAGUUGGUGUGCAAAACAAUGAAUAUAAAAUGCUUGAUGAUACUUGUUAAAAAAUCUUUGUUUUAAGGCCAUUUAGCUCACCUUUCAUAUUACUAGCUCCAUCAUAAUUUUGUCCUCGUAACUUGGACAUACUCAAAUUUGUUGUAACAAAAAUAAUCUCUCAAUGGCUUCUUUGAGCGAGCUACUAGUUGUAGAGGAGACAUGUUACACAUCCAAAAAUCUUUCAAUUACUUCUCCUUUUUUGUUCACAUAAUGCAAUACCACCACCAUUUGCUCUCUAGUUGAAACAUCACGUGAUCCAUCAACCAAAAGAGAAAAAAUGCACCUUCCAUACCUUUUGUGAUUGCAUCAAUAGUUUCAAUGGCACAAGUAUGGACAAGAUCUUUUUGAAUAUCGGAAGAAGUAUACUUAAGAUUCUUGGGAGCAUUCUCAAACACAACCUUCCUAACUUUCUCAUUAUGAUUAUGAAAUUGCACAAGCUCCAAAUAAUUACCCCUAUUGCUUGAUUUCAUUGAUUCAUCGUGGCCCCAAAAGGAAAACCAUGUCCCAACAACCAUCUUAUGCACUCAAGUGAGACACUCAAUAAGUCUGAUAAUUAAUGUGAGCUUCAUCGGUUUGCUUAAUCACAAUUGUUUCAAUGUGCUGCUUUUGUGUCAUCAAAUCUCUAGUUAGCUUGUUGUACAACUUUAUUAGAUGAAGACUUCCCAAUACCUCCCUCAGGGACUUGAAGAUUUUCAGGUCAUUCCUUCCAAUUUGUAAACCAUUUCUCAGUGAAGACAUCACUUCUAGUACUACCCAUUUGAUUGAAACCACAAUUGAAAAGAUAGCAAUAAUGGAAAAAUGUAGCAUCUUUUAAUAUACUAUACUCCAACCACUUAAACAUAUCAAACCAAGCGGUGAUAAAACAUCGAUGUUGCUAGUUUUUCUUGGUAUGAUGUGGCCCUUAGGCUAACAAGGAUCAUUUUGAAGAUAGUGUCUACAAAUUGCUUCAUGAUAAUUUGGUGGAUAAUCAAGCAUUCAAUGUCUAUGUCUAAGGUCUGUAAGAAGAUUAACCAAUAUUUCAUCCAACUCAGUGGCCUUACUUUGUUGUGAACUACCCGGAAUAUUCGAAUGAGGUUGGAAUAUUUGAAGGAGGAGGACUACCCGAAAUAUCUGAAGGGGAUUUAAGCAUUGUUUCUUAUAGUAUCGUUCUGUUACGUAACUGUAGAAUGGAAAGAAAAAAAAUUCUUAGACUUCUUAGACUCUUAAUCCUAGAGUAGACUAUACUAAUAUGACUAAUAACUAAUCCAACCAACAAUUCAAUUAAUCAAUACCAAUAAUCAUACAAAUGAUUCAAUAAACAAAAAUUCAAUUCAACUACUCAUAUGAAUAAUUGUAUACAUUAUUUAAUAAUUCAAUUAAUUAAUCAAUAAUCAAUAAUUCAAAUUUUACCGUAAACAAUAAUUUCAUAAUUUCAUUCAUCAAUAAUCAUAGAAUUCAUAUCAAUAAUUAAUAACCAAUAACCAUAUUAGUCUAUUACCAUAUGAUUCUAUACCAAUUAAACAAAAAUUCGUAUUAAAUAAUUAAUUAGGGUUAGGGAUUAUAGAUUUAGAAAUUAAAAAAUUUACCUAAAAUUGGGAGUGGCUUUGAAGGCUAGAAACUGGCGGAUGGCAGCAGCAAAUGGGCCAAAUAGGGUUGAGUGGGUCUUCGGUUCCGUUGCUGGGAAAUUGGGGGGGGGGGGGGGCAUCAGAGUUCUCUAAUUGGAAAAUGGUAACAAGAAAGGAUUUGAGAGAGAGAG
rnacentral:lncRNA from 1 species